GCAAAUUGAAAAGAAUAUUACCAGUUACUGGGUAAUAGACUAUCAGGGGACCAAAAGCAUAUGUCUAGGUAAGAUGUAGAAAGAAACGGUCAAUCAAAUACUCCACCCAAUGAGGAUAUAGCUCAGGGGGAGUGGUUCCAUCCAGACAACCAACUGGGGAGGAAACUCAAAUAAUGAUCAUCCACGAGGAAAUAACUCGGUGGGGAAUGAGAAAGGUUAAAUUCUUUCUGCUUGAGGGGCA
rnacentral:lncRNA from 1 species